rnacentral:rRNA from 1 species
AUUGAACGCUGGCGGCAGGCCUAACACAUGCAAGUCGAGCGGAGCGGCGGACGGGUGAGUAAUGCAUAGGAAUCUGCCUGGUCGUGGGGGCUAACGUCCGGAAACGGGCGCUAACACCGCUUCCUAUCACAUGAGCCUAGGCCGGAUUAGCUAGUUGGUGGGGUAAAGGCCUAACAAGGCCACGAUCCGUAACUGGUCUGAGAGGAUGAUCAGUCACACUGGAACUGGGACAAGGUCCAGACUCCUACGGGAGGCAGCAGUGGGGAAGAUUGGACAAUGGGCGAAAGCCUGAUGCAGCCAUGCCGCGUGUGUGAAGAAGGUCUUCGGAUUGUAAAGCACUUUAAGUUGGGAGGCGUUACCAACAGAAUAAGCACCGGCUAACUCCGUGCCAGCCGCCGCGGUAAUUC